rnacentral:rRNA from 1 species
UACAGAGGGGGCAAGCGUUGUUCGGAAUUACUGGGCGUAAAGGGCGCGUAGGCGGCCUUCUAAGUCAGACGUGAAAUCCCCGGGCUCAACCCGGGAACUGCGUCUGAGACUGAAAGGCUCGAAUCCGGGAGAGGGAUGCGGAAUUCCAGGUGUAGCGGUGAAAUGCGUAGAUAUCUGGAGGAACACCGGUGGCGAAGGCGGCAUCCUGGACCGGCAUUGACGCUGAGGCGCGAAAGCCAGGGGAGCAAACGGG